GGGUGAUUAGCUCAGCUGGGAGAGCACCUCCCUUACAAGGAGGGGGUCACUGGUUCGAGCCCAGUAUCACCCA
rfam:Oceanimonas sp. GK1, complete genome.